ensembl:lncRNA
GCCAUGAGCCCCUGCAGGGCCCCCUGUUGUUUAGGGUGGUUUGUCCUCAGCUUCUUUCCAACCCUGCCUUGAAAACGAACUCAUAACUACUUUUUGGCUGCCAUUUGCCGCUGUGCUUCCAGUGCUCUUCUCAGAUUGGAAAUCUCUUGAUCUUGCCUAUCUGUUGUGGUUUCAUUUGGGAAGCACAGAACAGAUAAAGAGACACUUAGGCAAGAAUGUCUCUUAGAUACUUAAAAACCCAAGUGGUCUCUGAAUGGACAUCUGGCAACUUGCAUUUGCUGUUGGCAGGAAGGCUGCUGCCUUUGGAAGCCAGCAGGUGUCCUUUGGAUGGAGCUGCGAUCACUGGAUGUCUCACGGUGCUUUUAUCCAAUCCCAAAUCUGCUCCUGCCCCUCCUUGAAGGGCUGUGGUGGAUGGUGCUCCAGUGCCCAGCCCCAGAAUGUCACAUACACGAUGCUGUCCUGCAGCCUGGCUGCUACCAGCAGCUCUCUUCUGUUCACACCUCAUGCUGAGUUUGUGACCCCACCUCUGUUUGGUGGAGAAAGAAACGCCAUAGGAAGGACUGUAUGCUGGCUCCACAUCUCCGUGGGCUUCCCUUUGGGCUCUGCAGGCUGAUCUGCACAGAGAUGCCUUUAACUCACCUGGACCUUCAUUUCUCUGUGCAAAUGCGCAUCACCUGCAGUGCCACCUGCGGGCACAACCCAAACCCCUCAGUCAUGGCUGUGACAGGUUAGCUCCCUCCUUUGCUUUUCUGCUCUGCAGGCUUCAGGUUAACAACUCAUCUUGUCGUGCUGUCUGUGCAGGCACUGAUGUGUGUGCACAUCAUUUUCUGUUGUCAUGUUUCCCCCCAGCACCACCCACAGGCCUUUCUUUGCGGUUCCCUUUCCCUUCUGCCUUUUAUCUCUGCAGGAUCUCCUGGAUGCAUUUCGGAACACGGGAGGUACAGUCACUGCACACCCACUCCCUGCACGCUGCCUUUGUCCAUGGGGUUGCAUGGCCUGAACUGCACAGAAGGAGAGGACAAUGGGACAGAGAGCUCAGCGGUAGGGGAACGUGUGGAGAGAGAUGGGAGGUGUGCUCGGGGGUUUGGGCACACAGAGAUGUGGGACAGACAAAAGAGUGAAAAGCAGCUUUUUGGAAGGCUGUUGCCACCACCCCCAGCCCAGCCUUGUGUAAGUGAUUGUGCUCCCCACAGUGCCUUUAGAAAUCCCCAAUUUUUUCUCAUUAUUCAUGUUUUUAUCAAAGUUAAGGCUUACAGUUACCACCCCUGGGAUACUGCAUGUGUUCCUCCUUUGGCACAAAGCUCCUGCUUCAGCCACAGCCACCUUUUGGAAAGACAUCCAUCCUGCCAUUAGAACUACUGUUUCCAGGCUCUGGAUCUGCCUGUGUUUUCAGCUACUCACUGAAGCCCCUCUUAUCAUCACAAAGCUUUUUCUGAGCUGGCAUUUGUAGGCUGUAAUCAAGUUACCCACCUGUCUCCUCUUUCAAAGAAAACAGAUUGGGUUUCUUUAAUCUGCCCCCUGCAAACCCAGCUUAGGCAACCUUCUGCAGCCAGAAAUGGUUCUCCUGAACAACGCACACGCGAUCCGAGAGAAGACACAGCCACGCCAUCCUGGCACUGGGUGGGCUCUGCUGAGGGGCUGCUGCAUCCUCACAGGGGUCACGUCCUCAUAUAGAGCCUCCCUGGGAAUGGGCUUUGGUCCCUUGCAUGUUUCUCCUCGGGAGCUUUGGGCACCAGCUCUGUCCUCCUGCAGCCUGGGGCAGGGUGUACACCCACAGGGGAUGCAGGGCAAUGUAUGAAGGCAGGAAAAAGCUCCCAGUGCAACACGCCUUCUGCAAUUUGCUUUUCUGCUCAUGCUACAAUAUUGAUUUCAAAACCCCUCUCCUGCUUAUUUAGUUCUGAAGUGGAGCAGCGCGCCGAUGGGCUGGGAGCAGCUCCCGAGUCGAGGGAGUGUAUCGUACAUGGCUAAUUGUAUGGUCUGCACUGCCUUUUAUCUUAGCUUGCAAUUCAUUUAGCAGCAGAUCUCUCUGUUCGUCAGUUUUGAUUCCUGGGGUACCAGAUAAUUUCAUUUGCAGAUGGAUUUUAUGCUUUCUGAUACUUCAGUAACCCCAUUUGGUAUAAGCACAGCUCUUCAUUUCCCUGCGAGGACGCGGACAACGAGCAGGAGCUGAGCACAAAAACAGCCAUUUAUUUAACCAGCGAGUACAAUUUCCCGUGCCCCGUUUCUCACCAACCUCACCAGCCUCUGUGCAGGUGCCACAUGCAGGUGAGGCAGACAUGGCUCGUUUCCAGUUCUGUUUGCAGGUAGCAUUUUCUCUGCACUGUGCUGCAGGACAGCGUGGAGUGGACACCCACUGCCUAUAUCUCAGGGAUGAGCUGCUCUGCAGAGGGACUCACGUGUUGCUGACUGCAGUGCUACGGGCUUCGGUGUAUGGGAUGCAUUGGACCUCCUGUUGCUGCAGUGACCCGUGGGAUCAGAGAGCGAGAAAAGCUUCAUCCCAAAUAGCUCCCGAUUACCAUUUACACUCCUUACUUCUUGUCCUCUCAGAUCGAUACUGCUCUUAAGUACUGCAAAUUGGAGGAGAGCCAUCAAAAUGCUCUAUUUUCACAACAGACGUACGAUGAGAUCACCGGCUCCGAGCCACCAACCCCUUUAUGUCAACGAUUUCUCCAAAGGAACUUUCCGUGUCAUUUCCGAUACCACUUUCAAAGACAAAUAGCAGGAAGUGCUCUUUGAAUCCCAACGUGACUUCUCACGCUGGAACACGUUGGUUAAUUUGGACGGCAGCAGUAAAAUGUGUUGAAAACGAUGGAAAUACCAUAAACCAGCACAGAAAGUGAGCCCAUUUCAAUCCUCCAGAAGAGACCAGCAUGUUUUGUUUGUUAUAUUCUUCAUAUAUCCACAAGUUAAUGAAGAGUGGGUUUUUUUUCCUUUCAUUUUUUUCUCUUCAUCAGUCAACAUGGGUUGGUUUUCCUCUCUCUAUUUUUUUUUCUUUAUUGAGGGGAAGGAACUGCGCAGAGGAAAGGGAAUCAAAGGGAAAGCUCUUGGAAGGCCAUGAGAGCCUUGAAAGGAGAGCAGCCUCCUGCACACUGGGCAAGGAGGUGGCAGCCUGCAGGUUGGUGACAGCAGUGUUUCGGGCCCCGCCAUCCCCGUGAGCACCCCCAGUGUCAGAUGUCCAAGCCAUGGGGCACAGCAGAGCAGCAGAAGAGCUGAGUGGAGAAGGGUGUUGGAGCGGCUGCAUUGCAAAAUGGCUCAUUUUCCUUUGAGAUUAAUUGGCUGAAUUCUGACGAAACCUGUUAUUAACCGAACACCGCCACCUGCUUAAUUGAGUUCUGUGCAAAGCGCUCCCAGAAACUGGAAGCCUUCCCCCCUCCUCCAGCGCCUGUGUUCAUCUCCAUCCAGGGAAAUUCAUGAGAAUUUGUUAAAAAAAAACACACAAAAAACAUUGGCAAUUCAGAGCCAAAGGCAACAGGCCUCUCAACAUGUCCAAAUACAAACUGUUCUAAUGAAUGUCUGCUGUCAAAUGGCCAGGACAAAAAAAAAAGGAGAAACAGGACAGCAAACGGAGCUACAACUUCAGCAGUCACCUGCUGAAGGAUCCUGUGAAUCAAAGAGGAGUAACCGCCCACCCCUGCUCUGCCUACAGUGAUUCAAGGCAGACAGCAUCAGCCUGAUGCCCCAGGUCUUACAUUUUGUAAUGGAAAGUUAGCUGGAGAGAGAGUGCACCACUUGGUCCUGGAUGGUGGUGUGCGGGCAACGCCUCCAUCAGCAGCAGGAAGAGGAAUGGGAACCAGCCCAUCCUUGGGGUCUCCUGCACCACAGCACAGCCUGGGUCUUCAUACAGCAGAGAACAGCCUGCUAUGUACAUUCAGUGCAUAUUCCCCAUGCAUUUGGCUCGCAGGCUCUGCCCCAGUGGCUCUGGGUCCUCUGCCACCGUGCCAUGGGGCUGUGCAGCACUCAGAGCAACCACAUCAAUAUUCAUCUCUUUGUAAAGAUGACCUGCCCCUGCUGCUCAGAGUCACUUCAGAUUAUUCGUAUCGAUCCAGCACUGUUAAUGAUUAAAUACAAUGUUCUUCAAAGCUUGCAUUUAACAAGAAAGCUUGAUUGGAUUUACUGUUUUGAGGUUGGGUGUGUUGUUUUCCGUUAUUUUGCUUCCCCCCUUGUCUUUGUGGAACAUCGUGUCAUUUUGCAAAUGAAGAAUUACCCUCUUGCCUUUUAUUAAAAGCUUCCUUCUAAAGGAUUCACAUUGCGUUGCUGAAUCAGAUGGAUGCUGUGUUGCAACACCCACUGCCACCUCAGUCCACCCCCCGCCAGCCACCCGCAGUGCAGGGACAUUGGGUGUAGGGGUACCAGCUCUGGGUGCUGCCACCCUACAACAAGUCCAUGCCCACACCCCUCCGGGCUCAGCAAAUCAGCAGUGCUGGGGUCAGCGGUACCCAAAGCCCUCUGUAUUUUUCAGGAUCGUUAGAAAAGAGACGUUGACAUUUGUGUCCCAGCUUUUGUCAGCUGAGACAAACAACCACAACAUCUGAUGCCAGUCCUGGAGAACGUUCCAUGCCUUUAAAGAGAAAAUCAAAAGACAAAAGCACCAAAAGAAGUUUAGCUGAUGUUCUCCAUUUGCAACGCUGAGAGGGCAACCUGAAAACCCCAGCACAACCUACAGUGCAGUUUUACCUUUGUGUUUCCACCGUCCAUCCAAAUGCCAUCCUCCAUUGGCAAUGCACGGAAUUGGAUCUGAAGGAGGAAUAAGCUCCAUGCACCAUGAUGCAAUUGCUGCACACCCCUGGGGAAGUGCUAUGGGAGAGUUUCACUGCAAAAAGAGCUGUCAUUGCAUUUAUUUUUCUGCUUGUCUGAGUGAGAAAACAAGGCUCAAUCACACAUUGUAAGAGAAGAAAAACAAGGAGAGGACAUGGCAGUGAAACCAUCGAGCUAGCACUUGUUAGUAGCAGUUUGAAAGGAAGGGAAAUCAAAGUUCCAGUGAGAAGUCAGUGUCCUGGCAAAGCACAGCCACGAAGCAGCAGCAGAGGACAGCCCACCAGGAGCCCUGUGCUGCCCACUGGGGAGGGUGCUGUGCAGUGCCACUUGGGCUGAGGACAGAGCGCACAGCAGCCCCAGCGCUACCCAUAGCAGCAGCAGAGCUAUGUACCCAUGGGCAUGUGUGUGUUUGUGCCCAACUCCCCACGCCUGAUAGGAGAUGGAUAAAUAGAAGUGACCCAGAGGUCUGGGGUUACAUCUGCUUAGACUCAAUGACUCGAAAUCCAUUUCAGGCUCCUUGGAGGCCCUGUUCAGCGCUGUCAUGCUGGAGCCAGGAUAUUAAGGGCACCUGUCAGGGCUAUUUCAGGAACCAGAGGCCUCCCUCCCCUGCAUGCUGAGCUCACGGCGUAUCAGAUGAGGUCUGCUGGAGCAGUGCACAUGGAAAGUCUGGUUUUCCAGUGAGAAGUCUGGAUGAGAAAGUGACUUUCUGAGCCCCCUUGUCACUGCCGGCUCCAGCUCUGACCAUGACACCAGGAUACAGAUGGGGGCAACCAGGCUUGCUCUUCAUUGAGGGCUAUUUCUACAAAUACCUCAUGUUUUCUCUUUCUAACCGCUGCCACAGGCUUCAGUUCCCCCUCAGCAUGACCUGAGCUGACCUCAGGCACAUCCGCAUGGCCAUUUGGGCUCCAGCACAGCCUGUCCCUGCAGGGCUGUGGUAAUAGAGCCUGCAGCCAGAGCACACUUGGCUUGAUCCAGAACAGCCUGGGGGAGAAGAUAAAUAAGGGAGGGACAGAGUGUUUUAAUACAGGAGACAAAAUAAACAUGUUAAGUGCUCUAUAUGCAAAAGCAGGAGGAAUCCCACCGCCUCAGGAAUGUUCCUGCUGUGACUUGCAUGUGGAACAAACCCUCUUCAAAGGCUUCAUCACUGAAUGUUUCUCUCUGCAAACCCUGCUUUCCAGGGCAGGGAAAGUCUCUGUCACACAGCCAGCUCCUCAUUGAGGAGCUUAGGAGGUAAGUGCUCCUCCUGGCCAUCACAGAACCAAAGGCACUUCAGCCUCAUCCUGUUCUUUCUUUUCUCAGAGGGGAUACGGGAAAAACACUCAGCAGAGCUUUAUAUGUCAUGGAGAGAUGUUCAAAAUCACAAGUAGUUGCAGAUAGAGAGCUUCAGACUGUGGUCAUUCAUGCAGCCAAGACUCAGUUGCUGACUGACAGAGCCCUGCCUUCCAGCAGGCUCAGCCCCACACCUAGCACGGUGUGCUCAGCCUGGUUCCCAGCUCUCCUUACAGACACCUGCAGAUGAGCAGGCAGCCAGAACACCCAGCAGCUGCUCCUGGCUCCUGAUGAGGAGCCCAUUGCUGAAGGGAGAUCCCAUACUGCUCACCAGUUCAGAUCCAGGGCAAGAAAAACUCAUGCUCUUCACUGGUGCCAGCACAGAAUUCAGUUGUUUGGGAUGUACACGAAACAAAAGCAAGCCCUGCCUUCUUAGAGCAGCUUCUCUCUACACCUCCAGCAGUUCUGCCCUAAAGCCUUAUCCUCUGAGCUGGAUUACACAGUACACCCCCUUGAAAGAAACCUCCUCUUAGCACCUUCACUAACGUGCUGACCCACUCAUUAAAAACCCCAGCUGUCCAAUUUCCUGCAUGCUAUACCCACAAACCCAGAGCUACGGGGCAGGCCCAGCUGCAGAGAAUUUAAAGAUCCAUCUGUGCUGAGUGGCUGCUGGCAGGGCUGGUGGGAAGGCAUAAAGGUGUAAAGGGCUCUGGCAGAGCCUGUGCUUGCUUCUGAUGUUGCUUAGCUAGAAUGGUCGGAGCUGUAAGAGAUGGAAGUGCUGCUUCAAGGCUGAGUUCCUCCUGGUGCUUCUGCUCAGAGGGCUCUGCUCUGUCUGCUGUGGAGGAGCCCUCAGUGAGUCCCCAUUGCGGGGACUGAUCACCUGUUUUGAUGUGAUUUGCUUAAUGGGAGCUGAACGAUCCGGAGCUCUGCUCCUGGUGCAGUAAAUGAUUCCCCUGCUUACAAAUCCUGUUGUAUCAGCAGGAGUGCUUUGUAUUGCUAAAAGCUGCAGCACUCACUAACACAGAGGUGUAUCUGCAGCUGAAACUCAUCCCUGUACUUGAGUGGGGAAAUGAUACUUUUCAACACUUUACAUCCAGAGCUGGAAGGGAAUCUCCCACUCAUCCCUCCUAUUGUUUCUCCUCACUUCAUCUUUGAAACUGUGGAGAGGGCAAAGGAAUGGAGGAGACGUCUGUAUAGGUGAAGCUGGAGCUUCGUUCACGUGCAGGGCUUCGGGUGUCCCCUCCACGUGUGUGCACCAGCUCCGUGUCUCCACCUGCGUUGUGCACAGCAGGGCCGGGUCAGCAUGGGAUGGAGCACACGGGCAGGCAUGAAGGGCACUUCUGUCAUCAGACAGACAUCUGCCUGCAGCAGGACGGAGCCACGGACUCCUUCAGCAGGUGCUGCCCUGGAGAGAUUAACCCCCAAAAGGGGAUGGAAAAACAGCCCUGACGUGAACCUGCAUUCCCUGCUAGCAAGCCUGCAGAUAAAUUCGGGUGCAGUGCAGGCCCCGUGAGUCAGCUUCCUUUUUCUGCUGUCUGAUAAUACCACCCUGAGAAGGGUUAAGUGAGGUUGCAGGGGAGGUUUCCAGGAAAAAGCGUUGCUCUGAGGACUACUGGAGGGCCCGGUUAUGCCUCGGCACUGUAGGCGUGGAGUGAUGCUGGGUUUACACCUGUGGAAAUGGGGGUGAGAUGCUUUUUGGAUGUGACAGCCCACCCCAACCAGCAGCCAGCUCUCCAAAGGGACACUUUUCUGCAGCUGGGCCGAAGUCCCCACACCAGAGCUUUGCUGCUCCGGGAGAAAAGCCAUGCAGAAAACCCUGGGAAAAGCUGUGGCUGAUGAAUUGCUGCUGUGCAAAGUAAUCCCUUCAGCCUGGCAGAAUCUCUGUUUACCUCUUAGUGCCUAACACUAGUGUUUGCAGGAGAUGGCCUUGCUGUGGCAGGGUCGUGCUCUCACCAGGUUAAAUUACUCAGCUAUUGACUGCGUUCAUUAGUCAGAUACUGACUCACCGUGAUGAAGAAAAUGAGGAGUGCUACAGCAUUACUUUAUUACUCAGUCUGCUGAAAGAAAACGGCUCCCCUUUUACCUCUCACCAAAAAGUUGAGUAUUCAAAAGAUCAGAAGUACAUCCCAGCAUGAAUCAGC